GGUUUAAAAACAGAGAGAAGUGAUUCAGGUGUUCUGUGCAGUCCUUCAGGCACCUGUUUUGAUUCUUAUGAACGAAGAGACGAGUUGACAGUCCUUAACUUGCUUUCAUAGCCCUUGUGAACAGAAAAGCAUUCUUCUUGUCAAGUAUUUCCUACGGUUUAGUGGUUUCCUCUUUCUCUCCACCUUAUCUACCACCCCUGCCCACCCCCCACAGCCCACACUAGCCCACCAGCAAGUAGGCUGGAUAAGCCAUCUGGACAGCUUUUAUCAUCACCAAUAAUUUCUGAAUGACAGACUGUUAUUUCCCAGAGAAGGGUUUUUGUUGAGACUCAGUCUUGUGGAUUUUCAGAACGAAAUGUUUCCAUUUGAUAAUUUCAAGCUUGGCCAGCUCUCAGCAUCAUUCCGUCAGGUAAAUACGAGCCGGAGGAAGGAAGGCUGGUGAACUCAUUAUAGGUAAAGGGACAUUAAAAGGAUUUUCUCUUGCGGAGUUUAUCCAGCUGGAUUUAUGGUUGAUCCCGUAAUUGCUUUAAUAGGGGUACCUAAUUCAGAGCUGCUCUUCAAGCAUCCCUCUCCCUUUGAUACUCCUGAGAGACUCCAGGACUUACAGAUCUUUUGAGUUAUAAUCACAAGAAUCAACGUGCAGCGGGUACCCCAGAGACUGUGGUGGUCGUGAAUUAACAAGCCAAGUGCCGGUGUUGCGGUGACGACUUGGAGGGUGGGUUCUUAGGUUACAUGACACAGAAGAUCAGUUUGAAGCAUCCGUUUUGUUCUUUCUUUCUUUCUUUCUUUUCUUUUUUUUUUUUUUUGAAAAUAAAGCAUCAAGAACAAGUAACCACCUGGAUAAGGGAAGGCUCUGGGACCCAUUCAGGAUGUUAUUGAUGUUUUUGGAGAUGACGUCCAAGAGGAAGAGUUGGCAUUGCAUGGAGAGAUAAUGAGCUGUGUGGUGAUCAGCCCAGGCCUCAGAAGAAGUAGAUAAGGGGCAACCUCAGAGCCCUUCACCCACUGGACGCCACUGAGGACAGGAUCUCUGGAACAGGCACUACACCCCAUUGUGAUGUCCAGACGCCAGCUGGGUUUCCAGGGGCAACGGGGCUGCCCCAGUUCUGAGCCCAGGGGACCCCAGGAGGCAGAUGUGCUCUGGGGCGUGAGAUCCAUUAAGUCCGCCUCAGGAAAGCUGCAUCCUCCACACUGAAACCACACCGGCAUUAGGACACUCCACCCAGCCUCUGGAAACACCCACCACUGCCUUCUUCUGGAAAGCACCUGCUCUAGUCCCUGGAGACUCGUAUUAGGGCAGAAUCCAACAGAAGAAUUCCGUGGUCAGCAGAGAAAGCCCCAUCUCAGCAUCCAUGGAGCAGGUGCAUCUGAGCACAAGCCUGGUGGACCAGCCGACAAGCCUAAGACAAGGGCACAGGUGAGUGGGAGCUGCUCCCAACAGGUGGAGACACAGGUGCCGAGCAGACUAGGCAGGGAGGCGAGGCCACAUCUGUGGAACUCUAAGUGGACCCCUGUGGCUGUGUGCACCUUGCACGUGUGACAUACACUGACAGACACACACUCUGUAAUUCUCAGGAGACCGUACAUCCAGGCAGGGAUCUUUCCCUCCUUCAGCUCCCCAGCCUCCCAUGAAAAUGGCCCUCUCAACCUGCAGGACUAGCAAGACAUGAGGAUACAGGCUGGAUUGAAGAGCAAGCCCAUCAAACACAGUGGACAUGCAGGGGUGUCCUUCUGCCCUUCCUGGCCUGUGCCCUUGAGCGUUGGGGUGUUUGGGUCUUAAGAAGCCCGCCGUACAUACAUAGAAACGAUGCAAUUUAGAGACAUCUUUAUACCGGGGAUGAGACUCAUAGGUUCUGCUGAUGGGUGAUUGUUUUUCUUUUUAAAUUAUGGUUGAUUUACAAUGUUGUGUUCAUUUCUGCUGUACAGCAAAGUGAUUCAGUUACAUGCAUGUCUGUAUUCUUUUCAUUGCACUUUAUCACAGGAUAUUGAACAUAGCUCCCUGUGCAUGCAUGCAUGUCUGUAUUCUUUUCAUUACACUUUACCACCGGAUAUUGAGUAUAGCUCCCUGUGCUCUUCAGUAGGACCCUGUUAUGUAUCCGUCCUAUACACAGUAGUUUGCACCUGCUAAUCCCAAACUCCCAGUCCAUCCCCCUGGGCAACCACAAGUCUGCGCUCCUUGCUUGUGAGUCUGUUUCUGUUUUACGAGUAAGUUUAUCUGUGUCGUACCUUCGAUGCCACAUAUAAGUGAUAUCAUAUGGUAUUUGUCUUUCUCUUUCUCAGUUCACUCAGUAUGAUCAUUUCUAGGUUCAGGUGUGUUGAUGCAAAUGGCCUGAUUGCAUGAUUUCAUUCUAUUCUAUGGCUGAGUCAUUUUCCAUUGUGCAUAUGGACCACAUCACCUUUAUCCAUUCCUCUGUCGAUGGACAUUUAGGUUGUUUCCAUGUCUUGGCGAUUGUGAAUAGUGCUGCUGUGAACACUGGGGGAUAUGUCUUUUCCCAUCACUCCAUGAAUCAAAUCCAGUUGACAAGCUCUCGUGCAUACCUUGUUGGAGGUUCUUGCUGGGCAGGGUCUGUGGGUUCUGCUUUUUCAUAUCCCCUACUGUCUGCAAAGCCUUCCACAAGUCCUGCCUUGGGUAUUAUAUGGAAAACCCUGAGCUGUUAUUUUUAAUAGCGUUUCAAAGACUUGAGUGGACGACAGACUUCUCGAGCCUUGAGGGGGGCAGGUAGCUUUCAUUGUGGGAUGGGAUUCCUUCUUUUGUGGGAUGGGAGUGCCCUGAGAGUUCACAAGGUGAGGGAGAAAAUAUAGGGGAGGCGCUGUAGGGAUGAAAAGUGGGGUGACGGUCCUGGAAGUAAUUAUACCAGACACCUCUGGGUAAAAGACAGUCCUCUGGAUAGACACAAGCCAGAGAUGAGUGAGUUGCAAAGCCUGAGACCCAGCAACGUGGAUGGUGUAACGCCCAGAGUGAGGGUAGGAGAAGACCAUUGUGGCAGGUUGGUCCACUUGGGCAGAGAGAACAUUUAUCAUUCCUCUGCCUUUGCUUCUCCUCAGCUCUCAAGGAUGGGGAGGGGGUGACGCCCUCCCAUGCUGGGGAGGGCCCCCUGAUUCCCAUGCUCGUCUCUUCUGGAAAUACCUCCCCCAGACACACCUAGAGUGAACGUUUAGCCAGGUACCUGGGCACCUGUGGUCCCCUCAUGUUGACCCAUCAAAUUAUCCAUCCCAGCAUCCAGUCUCUGCCUGGGUGGUUUGGACUGAACUGAGCUGGGACCACACUUCCCAACACCCUUUUCUUUCUGUUUUCAGACCCCAUUCAGUUCCCAUCAUUCUACCACGAAGGCUUUCCUAUCCGUCAGUGUAUUCCAUAUCCAUCCCUGCCUUUUAUUCUGAAGACACUUGCCCAAGCUUAAACAAAGCAAUUAUUUAACUUUAUUUUUGUUUAUGAAAGUCUAGUUGAUUUGCAAUAUUGGGCCAGUUUCUGCUGUACAGCAAAGGGACGAAGUUAAAUGUUUAGAGCCACGAUCCCAUCUUUCCAACAUCCCCUUUAUACGUGGGAAAACACAUGUAGGGGCAUGGAUAGGAACAGAUGAAGAGAAUUUGGUCUUCUCCUAUAGAUGCUUCCUUCUUCCUGUUACACCUUGGCGCCCUAAGAUCGUGUGUUACAUUUAUUUAGAGCACAGUGUUACAAUGUAGCAUAUGCGCUGAGGAAAUAACCACUGGAGAAACGAUUCGUUCAGAUCCCAGGGCUGUUUCACAUUCAGCGAAACAGCCAGUUCUCGGCAAAUGAGGAAACAAGGAUGUCCUCGAUGUUGGACCUUCCUGUCGGCUGUGUUCACACUGUGUUCACACAGAUUUCACAUCAGCCUGGCCAAAUGCAUUACCUGGACGCUAUGGAUGCCAUUUGCCAAACAUAUGUGCCUUCUCUGGACGGGGGUUUCUUCUUUAAUUCCUCUUGUGACUGCCUGCGGGCGCUCUUUCUGGGGAUGACAGGGUUGGGCUAGAGAAGAUGUUUUAGCAACAGACAUAGGAGAAUGUUUGAAAAUUGGAGCACCCAGAGCAGAAGGAAAUGUCUCCAUGAGCCCCUUUGUGGAACACGCAGCAAUGCUUUGCAGCCCACAGGAGUUCAAGAGCUUCUGAGCAAUUAGAAAUCGCCUUCCCCUAACCCAUCAUCUUUCUUAGAAACUUAUUAGGGUGAUACCUUAAUAAGAAUUGUGUAAAUGGUAUUAUUGUUUCCUCCAAAUGACUGACUCCUGUGUAACGAAAACGCUUCACUAGGAAUGAUUUAAGAGAGAAAUUACCUCUGGAGCAGAACACAAGUGAAAUUCUUUCUGUCACCAAGUGUAUAGACUCUAAAGAAAAAGCACAUUCAUGUAUCUGGAGGCUGCCUUUGUAAUCAUUCACCGAUACUGGCCCUCCUGUAUAAAUGCUCAAAAUAAUAUGUGACCUGGGUGUAAUAUUCAUCCCACUCCUGGGGUUGGGGAGGGGGGUGGUCUGAGGGCAAUACUUUUUUUUAACUUUAUUUUCUAUUAGGGUAUAGUUGAUUUACAGUGUUGAGUCCAUUUCUGCUGUACAGCAAAGUGAUCCAUUCCGUUUCUUAUAUUAUCUUCCAUCCUGGUCUCUCCCAAGAGACUGGAUAGAGUUCCCUGUGCUGGACAGCAGGACCUCAUUGCUUAUCCAUUCUCUGUGUCAUGGUUUGCAUGUACUCACCCCACACUCCCCGUCCAUCCCACUUCCUCCCCCUCCCCCUUGGCAGCCACAAGUCUGUUCUUUACCUCUGUGAGUCUGUUUCUGUUCUGCAGAGAGGUUCACCUGUGCCGUAUUUUAAAUUCCACAGAGCAGUGGUUUCAUAUAGUCAUCUCUCUCAGACUUACUCUACUUGGCAUGAGAAUCUCCAAGUGCAUCCAUGUUGCUGCAAAUGCCAUUAUUUUAUUCUCAAGUAGAGAUUUUAAUAGUAGUCACAGCAUUACUCCUCAGUGUCACGGAAGUCCACGGGUUCCAGCUUAUGGAAUAGUUUCACAUGCAUGACCUUGUUUGAUUCAACUGCAUUUCCCUGCUUCCCAGCUACCAAUCUGCAUGCUCUUCCAUUGGGAGUUUUGAGGGAGGCACCCGUUGGAUUGAAGUUGCUGGGAACAGAAUCAUCUUUGCUCUGAGAUGUUCAUAAAAGGAAUGUGGUGUGUGGGAUCAGCUGGCACAUGCAUGAUGGCAGAGCAGCUCUGUACACUGUCUUUUGGACAUUGUCCUGGACACAACAGGACUUAAAGGGAAAAACAGCAGGCAGUACGCAAUACCAUGUGAUCUUCAGAAGGACUUUUCCAGGCAAAGAACGUGUGGCCAGGUUCCCAUCAUGAACUUGCAUUUGAUCAUCUGCCGAGCAGCAGAUUUUAGCAAUUGUUGAACAGGCACAUUUUGUU